AGGAUCAUUUGCAAUGGGCGAAAGCCUGACAAUGCGACGCUGCGUGGAGGAUGAAGGCCUUCGGGUUGUAAACUCCUGUCAUGGGGGAACAGGCGAGGGGGCCGAACACGCCCCUUAGUUGAGUGUACCCCAAGAGGAAUUGGCGGCUAACUCUGUGCCAGCAGCCGCGGUAAUACAGAGGCCAAGAGCGUUGUUCGGAUUUACUGGGCGUAAAGGGCGCGUAGGCGGCCGCGCAAGUCAAGUGUGAAAUCCCCGGGCCCAACCCGGGACGUGCGCUUGAGACUGCGAGGCUGGAGUGCGGAAGGGGGAGUCGGAAUGCAGGGUGUAGCGGUGAAAUGCGUUGAUAUCCUGCAGAACACCGGAGGCGAAGGCGGACUCCUUGUACGCAACUGACGCUGAGGCGCGAAAGUCGGGGGAGCAAACA
rnacentral:rRNA from 1 species